GGGGGUGAACGGUUUCGACUCCGAUCGUUGAUCGAGGUGAAGCGUGCCGAGGAAGACGACGAUGAUCUCGUUAACCAUGCGUCGUAACAAAAUAAGUGCCGACAACAGUCGCACUGCCCCGCAGAGCGCUUUCGCGCUCGCUGCCUGAUAAACAGGUAGGGGCUGUCGGGCCGGAGGCGUCCCCGCUCCGGAUCCCGGCAUCAUUAAGGGGACUCACCACGCGGCUCGGCCACGGAGCCGCGUGGGACAUCGAACAGUGGCUGGGAUCGUCACAUCGGCUUGUUCGCGUGACCGGUGGAUCCGAGUAGAGGCCUAGCGGACUGCGCACGGAGAAGACCUCGUGAACCGACGGAGGACCCGGGUUCGAUUCCCGGCACCUCCACCU
rnacentral:tmRNA from 1 species